CAGCAUCCGCGGUAAUACAGAGGGUGCGAGCGUUAAUCGGAUUUACUGGGCGUAAAGCGUGCGUAGGCGGCUUCUUAAGUCGGAUGUGAAAUCCCUGAGCUUAACUUAGGAAUUGCAUUCGAUACUGGGAAGCUAGAGUAUGGGAGAGGAUGGUAGAAUUCCAGGUGUAGCGGUGAAAUGCGUAGAGAUCUGGAGGAAUACCGAUGGCGAAGGCAGCCAUCUGGCCUAAUACUGACGCUGAGGUACGAAAGCAUGGGGAGCAAACAGGAUUAGAGACCCCCGUAGUCCCUGUCUCUUAUAC
rnacentral:rRNA from 1 species